GAUGAAGAACGUAGCGAAAUGCGAUAAGUAGUGUGAAUUGCAGAAUUCCGUGAAUCAUCGAAUCUUUGAACGCACAUUGCGCCUUCUGGUAUUCCGGAAGGCAUGCCUGUUCGAGAGUCAUUAACAACCGUUUCGAUCCCUUUCUUUCAGAAAUUACAAAGAGGAAAAGGGUUUGGUUAUGGUGGAGGAGGGAAAGGGAGCGUUUAGCCUGUAUAAAAAGAGGCUGUGUUCCGCCUCCCCCCCAAAAUUGUACAGGCGGUCGUGUGCGCCCACGCAUCGAGGUGUUGUAAAAGCUGCCACGGCACUUUUCACCUGUGCAGUGCGAGAUUGGCCAGCCGGUUUAAAAACCCCUCCAAACAAUCAAAGGUUGACCUCGGAUCAGGUAGGGAUACCCGCUGAACUUAAGCAUAUCAAUAAGCGGAGGA
rnacentral:misc_RNA from 1 species